rnacentral:rRNA from 1 species
GAUGGAGCAACGCCGCGUGAGUGAAGAAGGGUUUCGGCUCGUAAAGCUCUGUUGGUAGUGAAGAAAGAUAGAGGCAGUAACUGGCCUUUAUUUGACGGUAAUUACUUAGAAAGUCACGGCUAACUACGUGCCAGCAGCCGCGGUAAUACGUAGGUGGCAAGCGUUGUCCGGAUUUAUUGGGCGUAAAGCGAGUGCAGGCGGUUCAAUAAGUCUGAUGUGAAAGCCUUCGGCUCAACCGGAGAAUUGCAUCAGAAACUGUUGAACUUGAGUGCAGAAGAGGAGAGUGGAACUCCAUGUGUAGCGGUGGAAUGCGUAGAUAUAUGGAAGAACACCAGUGGCGAAGGCGGCUCUCUGGUCUGCAACUGACGCUGAGGCUCGAAAGCAUGGGUAGCGAACAGGAUUAGAUACCCUGGUAGUCCAUGCCGUAAACGAUGAGUGCUAAGUGUUGGGAGGUUUCCGCCUCUCAGUGCUGCAGCUAACGCAUUAAGCACUCCGCCUGGGGAGUACGACCGCAAGGUUGAAACUCAAAGGAAUUGACGGGGGCCCGCACAAGCGGUGG